CGCGGCCUAUCAGCUUGUUGGUGAGGUAAUGGCCUACCAAGGCGACGACGGGUAGCUGGACUGAGAGGUCGGUCAGCCACAAUAGCACUGAGACACGGGCUAUACACCUACGGGUGGCAGCAAUCAGGAAUAUUGCGCAAUGGGCGAAAGCCUGACGCAGCGACGCCGCGUGGAGGAUGAAGGCCUUCGGGUUGUAAACUACUUUACUCCGACGUUACCGUCGGAGCAAAAAGCACCUGCAAACUACGUGCCAGCAGCAGCGGUAAAACGUAGGGUGCAAGCGUUAUCCGGAUUUAUUGGGCGUAAAGAGUAUCGUAGGCGGUGGAGUAAGUAGUAAGUUAAAGCCCCCGACUCAAUCGGGGAAAUGCUUAUUAGACUGCUUUACUUGAGGUCGUUAGAGGGUGCUGGAAUUCCUGGUGGAGGGGUGAAAUCCAUUGAUAUCAGGAAGAACGCCAAGGGCGAAGGCAGGCACCUGGGGCGAACCUGACGCUGAUGAACGAAAGCUAGGGGAGCGAAAAGGAUUAGAGACCCUUGUAGUCCUGGCCGUAAACGAUGGGCGCUAGUUGGUCCGCCAGUCGGCGGACUGACGAAGCUAACACAUUAAGCGCCC
rnacentral:rRNA from 1 species